rnacentral:rRNA from 1 species
GUCCACGCCGUAAACGAUGAAUGCUAGGUGUUAGGGGUUUCGAUACCCUUGGUGCCGAAGUUAACACAUUAAGCAUUCCGCCUGGGGAGUACGGUCGCAAGACUGAAACUCAAAGGAAUUGACGGGGACCCGCACAAGCAGUGGAGUAUGUGGUUUAAUUCGAAGCAACGCGAAGAACCUUACCAGGUCUUGACAUCCCUCUGACCGGUCUAGAGAUAGGCCUUUCCUUCGGGACAGAGGAGACAGGUGGUGCAUGGUUGUCGU